UCCGGGUUGGACCCGGCGGUCCCGCCAGACAUGGUAACUGGCAGCGAGGGUUGCGCUCGUUGCGGGACUUAACCCAACACCUCACGGCACGAGCUGACGACAGCCAUGCAGCAUCUGCGCACGCUCCCUUGCGGGUCCUUCCCCUUUCGAGGUCGUACCACGUGCAUGUCAAGCCCAGGUAAGGUGGGGAUGACGUAGCUAAGCCUUC
rnacentral:misc_RNA from 1 species